rnacentral:rRNA from 1 species
AUUGAACGCUGGCGGCAUGCCUUACACAUGCAAGUCGAACGGCAGCACGGGAGCAACUCCUGGUGGCGAGUGGCGAACGGGUGAGUAAUAUAUCGGAACGUGCCCAGUCGGUGGGGAUAACGUAGCGAAAGCUACGCUAAUACCGCAUACGAUCUAUGGAUGAAAGGCGGGGGAUCGCAAGACCUCGCGCGAUUGGAGCGGCCGAUAUCAGAUUAGGUAGUUGGUGAGGUAAAGGCUCACCAAGCCGACGAUCUGUAGCUGGUCUGAGAGGACGACCAGCCACACUGGGACUGAGACACGGCCCAGACUCCUACGGGAGC